CCCUUAGAUGUUCUGGGCCGCACGCGCGCUACACUGAUUCAUGCAACAAGUUUUGUCCUUGGCUGAUAGGCCUGGGUAAUCUUUGAACGUGAAUCGUGAUGGGGAUAGAUGAUUGCAAUUAUUCAUCUUCAACGAGGAAUUCCUAGUAAACGCAAGUCAUCAGCUUGCAUUGAUUACGUCCCUGCCCUUUGUACACACCGCCCGUCGCACCUACCGAUUGAAUGGUCCGGUGAAAUCUUCGGAUCUGAGAGAUGUCUGAUUAAUUUCGGACGCCUUUUGGAAAAGUUGCUUAAACCUUACCAUUUAGAGGAAGGUGAANUCGUAACA
rnacentral:rRNA from 1 species